CUGAAAACCUACAGGACAGUAGAUCUCUAGGAAGAGGGUUGGGCAGCCCUGUGUUAGAGGGAACACUCGCAGCACCACUAACCUUGACUGAGGGGAAUGGGGGAGCAAAGGAUCAACCUUCAAAGCCACAUAGUCAACAUACUUCGUCAACAACACCCAGGUGGACAUGAUGCAAACUAUACCACACCCCUGGUUAUCCCUCCUCUGGGUAUUGAGCUGAGGACUAAUGUCUACAUUCAGGUUUUAGCUGCCAACCUGACUUCCUAAUACCAUGUGCUUCUGGACCGACGCUACGUGUCCAUCUUAACAUUCAUUAAUCUCUUUGUAUUGUUAGACAAAAAAAAUAACCCUCUUCAAUCAAAUUUGGAGAAAGUGUUAGUAGCCAAAUUCAUAUCAAAUGGUUAAUCAUUUUAAGACUGGGCUUGAUUAAAUGUCUUUCCUCCUUUGCAUUCAGACAGUCAAAUUCUUUAGUGAGAAGGUACACUAUCUCCAUCCAUGUUCUUUAUCUAGUGAGCUCAAUGCAAAAUGGAGGAGUAGCCACUUUGUCUAGGCACCAAGGUGCCUUAUAAAUAACAUUAAUACGAUUUUUAGAUCAAUCAUUAAUACUCUUUCUGUAUCCAUCAGUGUGUUGUCCUGCCUGUGUGUGGGCAAUUGUGAGGUUCACCUUUUUUGUAAAGGUGCUCCAUAGAUCAGAUGACCACCAUGCUGGAGAAUGGAGACAGCCAUAGGGCCAUUUUCUACUUCCCUGCCUUCUGAUUCAUUGAGCAGGCAGCAGAACCAGACCGUCUCCACCUACUACUUGCACUGAAUGACACGCCUCUAUGAUCACACCACCUGCAGGUCCUUAAAGCAAUUCAACAGGAGGCGGAGGAGGGCUGCAGAAACCCCCAUCGGCCAGGAUGGGAUUUCAGAUUAAGCUCUCUUCAGCUCAGGACCCAUCAAGACCAUGGCAGAGAGCUCCUCUUACUUCCAAAGAAGAGGGUUUCUCUCUUUCUCAGCCUCUCUUACUUCCAAAGAAGAGGAUAUGUUUUUUCUUUAUCACAUUAACUCUAUCAUAUGACAGCAAACCUUUCACUUUUAAAGUGGUGAACAUCAUUCUAACAGGAAGGACAGAGCUGCUCAGAAGCUCUUCCAUUGGCUGUUGGUGUAAUGUACUGUAUCGUGUUGCUCCCUCUCCCCUUUGUGCACAGCGCUUUCUGGUGGCCAAGGGAGCGGCCGGGGUGUAUCUGUUGGCCUGGAGAUUGCCAUGGCAGUUGUCAUUGUGGUUGGUGUGGCUGCUCUAAUGAUGGCCUUUUAUUGCAAAAGGAUGUGGUUAAGCUAAUGCCAGUGCCAGACUGCCAUGCCAAAGCCCUCAUCAGGAGACCGAGACAUGACAUGAGUUCAACAGGGUUACAUUUCAGUACUGCUGUAUUUGAUUUAUUUAUUUUUAUUUAACUAGGCAAGUCAGUUAAGAACAAAUUCUUAUUUACAGUGACUGCCUACCAAAAGGCCUCCUGCGGGGACGGGGGCUGGGAUUACAUUUUUUUUAAAUGUCUAUAUAAAUAUAGAACAAAAGAGUAGUGUUCUCUUGUACUCACUCAACCUUGACUAUUGCUUUGGCGUCAUUUAUGUUUCUUUGGGCCUCUUGAGAAACUGUUACAGGGUCGGUAACAUGAACAUUCUCAUUGGUUUAAAACAUUAUGGAUAUCCCAGGUAAUAACUGUGCUAACAAGUAGGGUGGACCGUGACCAUUGUAAACACAGAUAGUUGACUACUGACCCUGUGAGAAACCUAAGCUUUAUAUGUACAAUGCAGAGCUGCAUUUUAAAGUAUUGUUCAACUUUAGGUUAUUGUAAUCUUGAUCUUUUGUUGUGCAUGUUAUAUGGAAAGAUGGGACAUGUAGAAUUAAAUAUUGGUAGCAAGUGAGUGUACCCUGCAUUCAAGUGAUAUAAGAUGCCAUAAGGAUGAGAAAGUGGCAUGUGUAUGUCUUUAAAAAAAUCCAUAUUCCAGAAAUAUGAAGAUUAAUUUGGCUAUUUAUUUCCAAGAAAUGCAUGCACGUGAAGUCAUGAUCUUUAUAUCCAAAUUAAGUUAGACUAAGGACUGCAAACUUUCCUUUCUAAAAUAGGACUCUUUCAAAUAAUCUUACACGUAUGACGUCCUAUAACUUUCAGGCUUGUGUGAUUCUUGUAUUAUGGAUACUCAGGUGGGUUUCUCUGGCUUUACUUUUGGAUUGAUGUUUAAAAUGUAUCUUGUGAAAACUGUUCUGUGAAACCUUUGCUUAUUUCCAAGAAGUGAAUGGUUUUAGUUAUGUACAGUUGGGCAAAAAAGUAUUUAG